GAGAACUAGUUUUGAUCUACUUUUGAGCAUGAAAAGCUGCAUAAAUUGUCUCUGAGGAAGUCUGGGGAAAUGAUAUUGUGGCUGAAGCUUCGGAGUGACUAGCAGGAAAGUCUGGAUAAGAUCCUGAGCUCUGCAGAGUUGCUGUGUAAACCUGGGGUACCACAGCCUCCCCAUGCCUCAGUUUCCCCAACUGUAAGUUAGACAUAGAAACCACGACUUCAGGGAAGGCAGAAUGAUGUUAAGGAGCAGAUGCCCAGGUGUAAGGUUUGUUUGACUAUUCAGUGAUUGUUUGCAGAGUGAGUCAGGCACUCUCCAGGCAAAGGGGCACUGCCGGUCUCUGCCUCACCUCCACACGGGGAGGGACUCACUGAGGAGGUCCCUGAGAGCAGCCAGCAGUGUUAGUAUGAGGGGACUGCAGGAUGCAUCUGUUUCCCCACAAACAAAUGGGUUUGUCCUGAAGUCCUUCUCCUGUUCACCGACCUCUUUCGUUGCCCAUGCACACAUUAAUCUUGCUUUAGGAGAGACGCCCAAAUUCCUUUUGCCCAAAGAAUAGGAUCUGGAAAACUGUGCCUGAUGUCCUGCCUAGAGAUCUCUUUACAGUUAAUGGGCUGAAACCUCCCCUUUCAAGGUCACCCUUGAAACCCACUAUCUCCACUUAUCUAGCACAUGCAAUUAUAUGGCUGGAUGGUCAGAUAUUCCAUAUAAUACAAACUAAAGACUCUUAGGUUCCCAAGACUGAUUAUCUCACUGCUGAUUACUGCAUUUCACACAGCUCUUUAUUUUUGCUGGAUUGGGAGUGUUUCUUUUUGUGGGAAAGUUUACAUGCAGGCUCUUCCUGCUAUCCUACUGCAACAUCUACAGCUGUACUUAGCUACUAUAUUUAAACUGCUCUAUUGACAAUAGCUACAGAUAUGUAUUUGUACGUUACAAAUUAAAUACAAAAUUUGUAUGUAGCAGGUUUUGUAAUGUUUUUAUUUUGAAUUUUUAAGUACUUAAUUAUUGACAUGCUGGAAAUGAAUGGAUGUAACAGUUCACAUUUCAAUUUGAAGCUGACCCACAAGAAAAAAAGGUAAGCAGCAUUCCUGUAAACAACUAAACCAACUACAGUAAGUGAAACACCAGUUUAAGAAAUGUCACAUGUGGGUGUCACAUUGUGGCAUCAUUACUGCUCCACCUGCUUCCAGAUCUGAGUUGUGUUGAGGUUAUUCAGAGUUUUUAUACAUAAUUUCUCACAUCUCUUUUCAGUCACAUUGUACAGCUCCAUACUGUGACCUGGUUUUCAUUGUUGAGCCAAGAGGUUUCUUUAGGAGAUUCUAACCUUUUCAAUAAAGUUUUCUAUGAGCCUAAAACUCAAAUAAGGAUCAAGAGCCCCAUCCCAGCAGCUUCAUCUAGAGCAUUAGGUGAUGAGACUUGAAUUUUUGGAUACUAGGGGAGAAAAAUGCUGUUUUGAACCUCAAGGGUCUUUUGAGAACAUCAGGAAAGAGAGCAAAAUCCCCAUGCCAUCCUAGGAUGGAUGAAAUGGAUCCCUGACUUUUAUUCAGACCUUCUCCAGGGCACAGCACUCCACCACCUCGGUCCCACCCUGGCGGUCCCAAAGCACUUGCGGAUGACUCAGAAGAGGCAGGAUGCAUGAACUUUUAAUUCUGGGUACACAAGCCGCAGGCAAGGACUAAUGAGUGAAAUGAGAUUGAGCAUCAGGUGAUUGCUUUCUGAUUCAACAGAUGAGGGCUGCUGGCAGGAGUGUGCGCCGGAAGGUCGGGUUUCAUGCGGUGCAUAAUGGAUGGGAGCCUGAGUCAUCGGGUGUGGCUGGGCUGGGAGAUGAGGCGAGCUCUCCCCAGGCUGCAGCAGUGACUCUUCCCAAUGACAUUGCUUCUGUCACGAAAUGGAUUUGGAUGUUUUUCUCCUAUCUGCAUCCCUCCUUUCUGGAAUUAUUUUCCAUCCGCAAAUAUAGCACCUGCUCACUCCUCUUCCCCGUAAAAUUAUUGUGCCCUGAUAGUCACCUUAAAAGUCUGGCAAAAAACAUACAAAACUGCAGCUCUUGUCUCACUAAGUGUGUUUACUGCAAAACUGCAAAGGCAUGAAAGGCUGGUACAGCAAAUCGUGUACUUUGCCUACCUAUGAACUGCUGUUUGACCAAAAACCAGCAAAGGGCUAAGCUUGAGGAUGAGUCUGAUAUGAGACAACCUUGUAUGUGAAAUCGAUAUUGUGGCAGUGUUUUCUUGGAAUGCUACUGGGAGGGAAAACAAAGCAGGAUGGUGUCUGAACUGAACCUUCUGUGUUUGGCCCAUUCAGGGGCUCACAUUUGUGGCUUGAGACCUGUUCUGCUCAGUGCUGUGCUUCUGCUCAUGUUUGUGUAUUAUGGGCACCAUUAUUAAAUCCAGUUCACAGCAGCACACAUGUAUGAUGUGCAUCACUAGGAACUGUAGCUUACAGCAGUAACAAAUUAAAGGUACACAGAUUUCAUUUCUUGACCUUUAAGACAGUUUGGCAGGGUGGAGUGAAAUGUUGAGGGCAUAUUGUUGAACGGUUUUGUUCUGCCCCAGGCAAACACUGCAACCACUAAAAUAAAUCAACAAUUGAGAAUUACAUUCAAUAAUACAUAACAUGAAUCAGGCAAAACAGAACUGAGCUGGGCUGUUGUUAUCAGGGCACUGCACCUGUUUUGCUUCUCAGGCUGUUAAUGAGAACGAGCUGUGGUUUGUGACUGCUUUCUCCCACCACACCCAUGGAUGCUCCACUAUCAUGGAGUCAAAAAUCUGCCUGGUUGUUGUCCAUUUUUAUCAUUUUGAUAGUUGGCCAUAGAAAUCCUUUUGUUAUAUCAGUAUGGGAAACCUGAAGAGAACCUGUAUAGGUGCAGAUGAUUUGCAAUAUAAAAUGGGACCAGUGGAAUAUUUUUUCUUGUGUUUAUUUAACUCCCAAGAGAGAUGAAUUUGAUCCUUUAUUUUUUCAAUGUGUAAAGCACCUAGUUACCAUGGGGGCUGCCAUCUACCAUAUGAUUUAACUUAUCUGCAGCAGUAUCAAGUACAAAGGAUAUAUAGCUUGUCACUUGAAGCAUGGAGGAAAAUCACAGAGAUUAAUUAUUCCUCAGGGCUAUUUGUGUUGCAAACGGAAUGCCUUCACAUCCUGUUAGCUUUUCUGUAUUGAGAACAGCAAGAUAAAUUACAAUGUAAGCAUAAAUGUGGUGUAUUUUCAUAAUUUGAGAUAAAACCAUCUGCUUUCUGUGCAUUGCUGUGAGCAGGCACUUACAGCCUAGACUGAGGCACCAAACUGUGAGUGACUCUAGUAAGUAGGUAUGUAGGAGGUACCUACAGUAGUAGGUAUGUAGUGGUUUUGUAAAUUCAGUCUCAGGUUUCUCUGGAGUCUUUAUUAGUGGUAUAGAAUGAGACUUUAAAUGACCACUGCAGCCAAGUAUCCUGCUGAAAGGCAGGGAAGAGUCAUGGAUGUGACUUCUUGUCUUGCAAGAGUGAGGUAGGUGAGAUGUUACCAGGUGAUUUACAGUCAUUUUACAACUAGCUUAAAAUUGAUUUACCACCACUCAACUGCUCAUUUUGGAAAUAUUGCAGGAACAAUUUUUUUAUAAUCAAGAUUUUUCAGGUCUAGUCAUCUCCAGAGAAUUUGCUGUUGAAGCUCUCCAGCUCUCAACACAGAGAUACUCAUUGGCUUUACUGGGGAGGGAAGCUGCUCACUUUUCUGACUCUACAAAUGGUUUGUGUCUCAGCAGGAGGUACCAGCAGCACCUUGGCUCCCCACUGCACUUCCUGAGAGCAGGAAACCAUCUGUGUGCAGAAAUCAGGGUGUCAUUUCCAGGCAGCA